rnacentral:lncRNA from 1 species
AUUCCAAGCUCUCAACAGUACGGCAAUCUUUGAGGCACAGUCCAUAAAGCAUAUCCAUGGAUGGCUUAUAUCAAAAGGGUGCUUUACAUGCUUUUAGCAUGAACUGACUCAAAUCAUUGAUCCGGAGUUAGUUUGUGUUCACAUGUAGACAAGCCAGGGUGGAAUCAUGCGAAUUGGACUGUGAGUCGGUGCCCAUUGGGCCUGAAUCAGAUUGGGGUCUGGAGUAUGACUGUAAGAAGGGAUCAGCUCCCCUGGCAUCUCCCUGAGUACUCUUUGCCUGGUGUUAGAAUGACUUGACAAACUACAUAAAGUGUUCCAAGCAUUCUAGCAGCUAUAUAUGUACAAGCCAGCUGGUAGUUACCAUCAUCACAAUGACACACACAGUGUACUGUAU